rnacentral:rRNA from 1 species
UGGGGAAUCUUCCGCAAUGGACGCAAGUCUGACGGAGCAACGCCGCGUGGGUGAUGAAGGUUUUCGGAUCGUAAAACCCUGUCAGGAAGGAAGAUAAUGACGGUACUUCCGAAGGAAGCCCCGGCUAACUACGUGCCAGCAGCCGCGGUAAUACGUAGGGGGCAAGCGUUGUCCGGAAUAACUGGUCGUAAAGAGCACGUAGGCGGUCUUUUAAGUCAGAUGUGAAAUAUCCCGGCUCAACCGGGAGGGUGCAUAUGAUACUGGGAGACUAGAGUGCAGGAGAGGAAAGUGGAAUUCCUAGUGUAGCGGUGAAAUGCGUAGAUAUUAGGAGGAACACCAGUGGCGAAGGCGGCUUUCUGGACUGUAACUGACGCUGAGGUGCGAAAGCCAGGGGAGCGAACGGG